rnacentral:rRNA from 1 species
GAUGAACGCUGGCGGCGUGCCUAAUACAUGCAAGUCGAGCGAACAGACGAGGAGCUUGCUCCUCUGACGUUAGCGGCGGACGGGUGAGUAACACGUGGAUAACCUACCUAUAAGACUGGGAUAACUUCGGGAAACCGGAGCUAAUACCGGAUAAUAUAUUGAACCGCAUGGUUCAAUAGUGAAAGACGGUUUUGCUGUCACUUAUAGAUGGAUCCGCGCCGCAUUAGCUAGUUGGUAAGGUAACGGCUUACCAAGGCAACGAUGCGUAGCCGACCUGAGAGGGUGAUCGGCCACACUGGAGCUGAGACACGGUCCAGAGUCCUACGGGAGGCAGCAGUAGGGUAUCUUCCGCAAUGGGCGAAAGCCUGACGGAGCAACGCGGCGUGAGUGAUGACGGUCUUCGGAUCGUGAAGCUCUGUUAUUAGGGAAGAACAAAUGUGUACGUAACUAUGCACGUCUUGACAGUACCUGAUCAGAAAGCCACGGCUAACUACGUG